CGCCGCGGUUACACGAGAGGUCCAAGUUGACAAACAACGGCGUAAAGGGUGGUUAAGAGUAAAAACGAACUAAAGCCGAACGAUCCACAAAGUCAUUCUCAAGCUAACGAGGAUAUGAAGCCCCACCACGAAAGUAGCUUUACACAACUCUGAAUCCACGAAAACUAAGAAA
rnacentral:rRNA from 2 species